rnacentral:rRNA from 1 species
GAUGAACGCUGGCGGCGUGCCUAACACAUGCAAGUCGAACGGACCUUAUCUUUUCGGAGGCUUCGGCCAAAGAGGGGUAAGGUUAGUGGCGGACGGGUGAGUAACGCGUGGAGAACCUGCCUCAUGCUGGGGGAUAACAGUGAGAAAUCACUGCUAAUACCGCAUAAGCGCACGAGGGCGCAUGCCCUUGUGUGAAAAACUCCGGUGGCAUGAGAUGGCUCCGCGUUGGAUUAGCCAGUUGGCGGGGUAACGGCCCACCAAAGCAUCGAUCCAUAGCCGGCCUGAGAGGGUGAACGGCCACAUUGGGACUGAGACACGGCCCAGACUCC